GAAGGUUUCCUCCUGAGUCAGGCAGAGGAGAGGAAGCAGGCAGAGCAGCAGAGGAAGGAUCUUUUGGCAGAAAUGGGUCUUGAUUCUUCUGAGGCAGAGAAGACUCCGCUGGACGCCAGAGUGAGGCCUCUGGGUGACGGAAUGAUU